rnacentral:tRNA from 1 species
AGCAGUUUAGCUUAAUGGUAAAGCACUUGCCAGGUAAUAAAAGAAAUGUGAGUUCGAGUCUCAUGCUG